AAUGCAUCUUUUCACUGUGGAUUGAACACAAAGCGUACCUUAAGUAUAAUCAAAUAUAAAAAAUACGCUAGUAUUACUAGCGUAAUUUAUACUUAAUUAGGAGCGAAAAUGCAUUGGAAAUUAAGCGUACAAAGACACCUCUAUAAUAAUUCAUAUUCCACAUUCCAACAAAAUAAUUUUGCAUAAAAUACGUACCACGAGAUGCAUUCUACUGGUGGUAAACAUAACAAGACGUUUUCUGGAAUAUAAUCAAGGCCUUGUUGAGGAGUGGGAAUUUGUCUCAACUUGAGACCGAAACAGGCAAGUGCUAAGUGAGAUUCCGGAAGAAGAUUGUAAGGUGCAGUGUAUUUGAUAAAAUAUAUUCCAUUGACUUUCCUCCACCCGGAUUACACGUCAUGUCUGUCAUGGAGUUGAGAACCACUCUGAUGGCUCCAUCGUACCACACACUGCACAACCUUUGAGAAUCGAGCAUUUCACUGCCAAUAUGUAGUUCGUUAAACUAGACGAGAGCAUGAUUGAAAACACACUCAAGAAUUUAUAUGAUUUUGUGGACGACCAAUUUUGGUACUUGGAUAGUGAUACUUUAAUUAAUACAAACCUAUCAUUGCAUCCUAUUUCAAAUUAGGAGUUAUUAUUAUUUAUUGUAUAAUAAUUAGAUAUGAUAUAUUCAAGGAUUAUGAAAGUUAGCCAUGGGAUUAUCGGUCGACAAAGAGAACUCACUUCUAGCUUCAGUCGUUUUCGUGGAGAUUUAUAUCAUCCUGUCGUUCGUCGAUUAAGCUAUACGGUCAAAAAUAAGUAUAUCAAUCAAGAAAUGCAUCG